GGAUAAAGCUCAGUGGUAGAGUGCUUGCUUAUUAUGCAGGAAGCCCUGGGUUCAAUCCCCAGAACCA
rnacentral:tRNA from 1 species